rnacentral:rRNA from 1 species
AGAGUUUGAUCCUGGCUCAGGACUAACGCUGGCGGCGUGCCUAACACAUGCAAGUCGAACGGGGUAGCACCACCCAGUGGCAGACGGGUGAGUAACACGUGGUCAACCUACCUUCGCGUGGGGGAUAACUAGCCGAAAGGUUAGCUAAUACCGCAUACGAUCGUUUUGAGGCAUCUCGAGACGAUGAAAGGAGCAAUCCGCACGAAGAGGGGACUGCGUCCCAUUAGUUAGUUGGUGGGGUAACGGCCUACCAAGACUCCGAUGGGUAGCUGGCUUGAGAGAGCGACCAGCCACACUGGAACUGAGACACGGUCCAGACUCCUACGGGAGGCAGCAGUGAGGAAUUUUCCGCAAUGGGCGAAAGCCUGACGGAGCGACGCCGCGUGUGGGAAGAAGGCCUUCGGGUCGUAAACCACUGUCGAAGGGGACGAUAUUGACGGUACCCUUGGAGGAAGCCCCGGCUAACUACGUGCCAGCCGCCGCGGUAAUAC